rnacentral:misc_RNA from 1 species
UCUCCGUUGGUGAACCAGCGGAGGGAUCAUUACAGAGUUGCAAAACUCCCAAACCAUUGUGAACGUUACCUCUCCCGUUGCUUCGGCGGGCGGCCCGGGCCCCGCGCCCGGCGCCCCCCGGCCCCCCGUGGGCGCCCGCCAGAGACCUCACAGACUCUGAAUGUUAGUGUCGUCCGAGUAACUAUAUAAUCGUUGAAACUUUCAACAACGGAUCUCUUGGUUCUG